rnacentral:lncRNA from 1 species
UGAGGAGCUCAUCUUCUUCUUGGAGUCUUCAUUUCGAAGGUUGGAGUAUGAAAAUAUUGUGGUGAUUCUUAGAUCGUGAAAGAAAUCUAUCAAGAUUGAGAUUUGGAGGAUAGGAUAGGGAUAGAAAGUUUGAAGUUUAAAAGCUCGUAUAUUGCAUGUGAGGAUCGAGCUUGAGAAAUUCAAAAAAAAUAUAUAUGAAUAUCAAGG